GUGUCUGGACAGUGCCCAGCACCUGGUAAAAUGCUCAAGAAGUGAUUGUUGAAUGAGUAAGUGUCUGCUGUUAGCCAAACCCAUUCCGCAUGCAGGAAGACCAGGUUUAAUGAAACUACUGUGGUCUCCAUCUGCAUGGACCAGAUGCUGACAUUGAGGCAACAAGGGGAACGGUGACUUCACUCACACGCGAAACCAGAUUCAGGCCUCCAGGAGAAUGUGCGGAAAAUGCCGAAGCUGCCCAGCCCGUCCCCACUUGCCAUCAAGCACCUGUGGAUCCGCACUGCUUUGUUUGAGAAGGUCCUGGACAAAAUUGUGCAUUACCUGGUGGAAAACAGCAGUAAAUACUAUGAGAAGGAAGCCCUCCUGAUGGACCCGGUGGAUGGCCCCAUCCUUGCGUCUUUGUUGGAUCCAGAAGAGACAUUCAAGUGGCAGCAUGGACGACCGACCAUCCCUUUCUGCCCGUGACUGUGUUGAGUCCUUGCACCAGAACUCCCGGGCCACGCUCCUCUAUGGCAAGAACAAUGUUCUGGUUCAGCCGGUGUCCCUAAGUAGGAAAAGCAGCGGUCCCUUCCUGUCAUGAGUCGCCAGGCUGUUGCUGAGGUGAGCUUCUUGUCUUUCCUUGAGGAACACAAGUGCUUUCUUAGGGUCUUUCUAGUCAACUUCUGUUGUAAAUAUGACAGUCUACAUUUUUGAUGAUCCUGUUACUUUCCCUGAUGGGGACAGUGGUGAGUGGUUGCCUCUUGCCAACUGUCACUUUGGUCAGGGGGACAUUAACCACUUGGCUGUGCCAAACCUGGUAACAAACAGUGCCCUAGGACUUUUUCGUCAGCAGCAAUUUGUCCUGCUUGGGUGAAGAAUUUUGUCGUCGGCAUCCUAAGUGGUCUUGAGAGACACAUCCCCAGGAGAAAGAACUUCUGACAGGCACCUAUUUCAUUAGCUUUUGGAGACCUUUGACGCAAGCACUGUGUGCCAUCUGGUUUCCUAAAGUCAAGAGGAGAACCAAAGACCAGUGCAGUGCGUGUUCAUCAUGAUCUGACCCUGAUGGGGUUUCUUUCCUCUGCAUUGAGGUCGUCGCGAGAGCAAUGGAAAAUGGUAUGCGUUUCGGAAUCUGUCUCUCCUGAUGAAAGACUGCGUAUAUUCAGUAAGAUGGGGCAUUCCUGCUGGCAUCAGUCUAGAGAGCUACCCUGACUCCAGGUUCCUUGUAGGAAAGAGGCUUGAGGGUAUGGAGAAAAGACAGAUUUCCCAGGGGAAAACCUAUGUCCAUGUUUACAGUGUGAGGAAGACAAUGUAUCCACUGUGGUUUUAUGUGUGUGUGUGUGUGUGUGUGUGUGUGUAUGCUUGAGAGAGACAGAAACUGAGGGACAGGGAAGGAGACAGGGAAACACACUGAGAGAAAAGGACACACACAUUCAUCAGAGAGACAGGGAGAGAGGAGAGACAGCGAGAGAUGUGUCCUUCCCCAGGAGAUAUGCAUCAGUGACACUGCACAAUAACCAAUGUCUAUAUUCUCAAAAAUUUCCUCAUACUACUGCAUAUUUCAAGGAAUACCGCUGAGCGUGGCUCAACAGUAACAUUCAGUCCAUGCAGGUAACCAAAGCCUCCAUAUGCUCUGGCCCAUGUUCAUAGCAAGGAACAGUCCCUGAGUUAUUCUUGAGCAGCACCAACAAAGUACUGACACGUAUUCUGUGUCCUUCUAGGUGUCCCUAAGUAGGAAAAGCAGCGGUCCCUUCCUGUCAUGAGUCGCCAGGCUGUUGCUGAGGUGAGCUUCUUGUCUUUCCUUGAGGAACGCAAGUGCUUUCUUAGGGUCUUUCCAGUCAACUUCUGUUGUAAAUAUGACAGUCUACAUUUUUGAUGAUCCUGUUACUUUCCCUGAUGGGGACAGUGGUGAGUGGUUGCCUCUUGCCAACUGUCACCUUGGUCAGGGGGACAUUAACCACUUGGCUGUGCCAAAUCUGGUAAUAAACAGUGUCCUAGGACUUUUUCGUCAGCAGCAAUUUGUCCUGCUUGGGUGAAGAAUUUUGUCGUCGGCAUCCUAAGUAGUCUUGAGAGACACAUCCCCAGGAAAAAACAACUCCUGAUAGACAUCCUAUUCAUUUGCUUUUGGAGACCUUUGUCUUGAGCACCGUGUGCAUCUGGUUUCCGAAAGUCAAGAGGAGAACCAAAGACCAGUGCAAUGCGUGUUCAUCAUGAUCUGACCCUGAUGGGGUUUCUUUUCUCUACUUUCAGGUCGCCGUGGAAGCAGUGGAAUAUGGUGUCACUAAGGAGGAAAAAGUGUGGGCCGUUCGUGUAAGAAGACACCAAGGUGUUGCUGAGGAUCUUGUUUCAAGGAUGAAGAAGAAGAAAUGUUCCCCUGAGGUCAAGAAUAUCAACUGGCACCAGGCAGUGCUUCAGAAAACUCCACAUCUGGCAAACAACAGGGGGUACUCUAUAAAUGACCCCAUUGAGUGUAUUUUCUAGGAUCAUGGCUCAGAUUACAAAAAGAGGAUCCUAAGGGAUUCAAACACAGAACUCACAAGAAAGGCAUCUGUGCUCAAGACAAUCUACUGGCUUUCGCCAGCAGUGCUUCAGCAGCAUCAAGAUGGACAUCUUUCCAAACAACAGGGCCGAGCCACAAAUAACACUCCAAUGAAUGACUACUCCAUUGAAGAAGGUAGUGUGGGUAUAAAAUCAUUAAGUAGAUUCAAGAGGAGUAAGGGUAGUUUGUACAGUGGAGACUGGAUGUUGGUGAGGAUGGAAGGAGCAGGGAAGGUGUACACGCAGAGGCAGGGAGCCCCUGCCCGCUCCUAGCCAUGCCUUUGUCCAGGCUGCUCAAAUGGUGGGUCAGAUCGUUCGUCAGGGAGACACUGGGGCCUCUAGACUUCAUCUGCCAGAGCACCAACCUAGCAGACCCCUUUCCUAGCUACUAUCAACUGCUCAUCACCCAGGUUUGGUCAGUUGAAGAUGACGCUAAUCACUGGGCAACUGUCCUGUGGGCAGUUGGUUUGGAAUGUUCUGGGUUCUGAGACAGUUGGGAGUCAGACAAGUGGUCAUUCAGGGUGGUCACCUGGCCACCAGCAAGGCAGCUAGUAGCAUCAAGCACUGGGGGGCAUGGGAUGGGGAGAUGGGGAUGUGUUUUUUGUUCUCACACCUCCUCACACCCCAUCCAUCAGGGGGAAAAGGCAUUGUUUUCUGGGUCAGGGAUUGAAAUAGGCAGGAGUUGGGUUGGGUUUUGGGCCAUUCUCUUGGGCCAGUACCUCCUUAGGGAGCCAGCUGUCUCCCUUCAGCAACCUUGGGGCCAAAGGAUAUGGGCCAGGGAGUGAGGAAAGGGCUUGGUUUCAGUGUGCAGGGCAUGAUCUCCUAUCCAGGUGAUCAGAGAUCUCUGUCCUCCGGGAAUUCUCUGUAUCCCCCGCCUCUGAACCAUAAGUCACCAGUGCUGUGAUUCUGAGUGAGCCACUUAACCUCUCUAAAUGUCAAUGCCCUGAACCAUAAAAUAUAGGUCCCAGCCCCUUCUCUGCCCACCCCACAGUCCUUUCAUGAGCAUCACCAGAAUUAACAGGUUUUCUUCACUAUUAGAAGUGUAAUAUUGAAGUCUCCUAGUUUUAUUGUUGGAAGAUCAGUUUCUCCUUUUAAUUGUCAGUUCCAUUGUUAUGCCCAGAAUUCGUGAUCCCCAAAUACCGCCAGGGAGCCGAGUCCGACGUAAAAGCAAAAG